AAAUGUUUAAUUGGCUCAUCAAAGCCAAAGAUAUCUUAGUAUGUCCUUCUGAAACUUUGAAAUAGUUUGGAAUUGAGGUUGGGAUUCUACUCAGUCCUCUGUCCCAGUGCUUGUUUUCCUGCCUCUAAGAGGAACAGAAAAGGACAAAGGCUGGAUUUGUCUGUGGUUUCGAGAUCUUCCAGAGAAAUGCGGCUAAGAACCAUUAAGUUCUACUUCAGUAUGAGGAGAAAUUGAUUGGGAUGAAAUCAGGUCAGUGUUUUAUUACCAGUCAAGGGAGAAUUUCAUGUCCUCACAUGUUAAGCUUCAAUAAUGUAUAGGAUACCUUAAUCAGUAAAUAACAU
rnacentral:lncRNA from 1 species